GGCGGCACAUUAGCGUGUGUCGGGCCGUUAUGCCUUGACGAGUAGGAGGGUCGCGGCGAUGUGCGCAGAAGGGUCUGGGCGUGAGCCUGCCUGGAGCCAUCGUCGGCGCAGAUCUUGGUGGUAGUAGCAAAUACUCCAGCGAGGACCUGGAGGACUGACGUGGAGAAGGGUUUCUUGUGAACAGCUGUUGCACAAGAGUCAGUCGAUCCUAAGCCCUAGGAGAAAUCCUAUGUCGAUGGGAAGCCGUUGAAGUUGACGGGCGCGCGUCAGCGCGCUUCCGAUAUGGAAGGCAACCCACGGGGCGAAAGGGAAUCCGGUUCCUAUUCCGGAACCCGGCUGCGGAACCGUUCCUAAGCGGGCCCUCAUCUGAGUGCUCGACGGGGCAACCCGAAGAGACCCGGAGACGCCGGCGGGAGGUCCGGAGAGAGUUUUCUUUUCUCUAUAAGCGUUCGAGUUCCCUGGAAGCCUAUAGCAGGGAGAUAGGGUUUGGAACGCGAAGAGCACCGCAGUUGCGGCGGUGUCCGGAUCUUCCCCUCGGACCUUGAAAAUCCGGGAGAGGGCUACGCGGAAUGUCCGCGCCGGAUCGUACCCAUAUCCGCAGCAGACCAUAUCCGCAGCAGGUCUCCAAGGUUAAGAGCCUCUAGUCGAUAGAAUAAUGUAGGUAAGGGAAGUCGGCAAACUUGAUCCGUAACUUCGGAAAAAGGAUUGGCUCUGAGGAUCGGGGCGUGUCGGGCUUGGUCGGGAAGAGGGUUUGUGCCAACGUGCCGGGCCUGGGCGAGGUGAACGAGGUCUUCCUCGGGAUCUGAGCUCGGUCCCGUGCCUUGGCCUCCCUCGGAUCUUCCUUGCUGCGAGGUGUUGACUGUCUGUCGCGGGUAACCACUUCGGUGGCCCCGAAGGACGGGUCUCCUAUCUCUUCGGCCGCCAUUCAACGAUCAACUCAGAACUGGCACGGACCGGGGGAAUCCGACUGUCUAAUUAAAACAAAGCAUUGCGAUGGCCCCCACGGGUGUUGACGCAAUGUGAUUUCUGCCCAGUGCUCUGAAUGUCAACGUGAAGAAAUUCAAGCAAGCGCGGGUAAACGGCGGGAGUAACUAUGACUCUCUUAAGGUAGCCAAAUGCCUCGUCAUCUAAUUAGUGACGCGCAUGAAUGGAUUAACGAGAUUCCCGCUGUCUCUAUCUACUAUCUAGCGAAACCACUGCCAAGGGAACGGGCUUGGAAAAAUUAGCGG
rnacentral:rRNA from 1 species